rnacentral:rRNA from 1 species
UACGGAGGGUGCGAGCGUUGUCCGGAAUCACUGGGCGUAAAGGGCGCGUAGGCGGCCCGCGCAAGCGUGCGGUGAAAGCCCGGGGCUCAACCCCGGGUCGGCCGUGCGGACUGCGGGGCUCGAGCACUGUAGGGGCAGAUGGAAUUCCGGGUGUAGCGGUGGAAUGCGUAGAGAUCCGGAAGAACACCGGUGGCGAAGGCGGUCUGCUGGGCAGUAGCUGACGCUGAGGCGCGACAGCGUGGGGAGCGAACAGG